rnacentral:rRNA from 1 species
UACGUAGGGUGCGAGCGUUGUCCGGAAUUAUUGGGCGUAAAGAGCUCGUAGGCGGUGUGUCACGUCGUUCGUGAAAACCUGCAGCUUAACUGUGGGCGUGCGGUCGAUACGGGCAUCACUGGAGUUCGGCAGGGGAGACUGGAAUUCCUGGUGUAGCGGUGAAAUGCGCAGAUAUCAGGAGGAACUCCGGUGGCGAAGGCGGGUCUCUGGGCCGAUACUGACGCUGAGGAGCGAAAGCGUGGGGAGCAAACAGG